rnacentral:rRNA from 1 species
UACGUAGGGGGCUAGCGUUGUCCGGAAUCAUUGGGCGUAAAGAGCGUGUAGGCGGUUUGGUAGGUCCGUUGUGAAAACUCGAGGCUCAACCUCGAGACGUCGGUUGAAACCGUUUGGCUAGAGUCCGGAAGAGGAGAGUGGAAUUCCCGGUGUAGCGGUGAAAUGCGCAGAUAUCGGGAAGAACACCCGUGGCGAAGGCGGCUCUCUGGGACGGUACUGACGCUGAGACGCGAAAGCGUGGGGAGCGAACAGG